CUACGGGUGGCUGCAGUGGGGAAUAUUGGACAAUGGGGGCAACCCUGAUCCAGCGAUGCCGCGUGUGCGAAGAAGGCCUGCGGGUUGUAAAGCACUUUAGUUGGGGAAGAAAAGGCAUGAAUCGAAUAGGUUUGUGUUUUGACGUUACCCAAAGAAUAAGCACCGGCUAACUCUGUGCCAGCAGCCGCGGUAAUACAGAGGGUGCGAGCGUUAAUCGGAAUUACUGGGCGUAAAGGGCGCGUAGGCGGUUGUAUAAGUUAGAUGUGAAAUCCCCGGGCUUAACCUGGGAAUGGCAUUUAAUACUGUAUGACUAGAGUAGGGUAGAGGGAAGUGGAAUUUCCGGUGUAGCGGUGAAAUGCGUAGAUAUCGGAAAGAACACCAGUGGCGAAGGCGGCUUCCUGGACUCAUACUGACGUUGAGGCGCGAAAGCGUGGGUAGCAAACAGGAUUAGAUACCCGGGUAGUC
rnacentral:rRNA from 1 species